UACGGAGGGUGCAAGCGUUAUCCGGAUUUAUUGGGUUUAAAGGGUCCGUAGGCGGAUUAAUAAGUCAGUGGUGAAAUCCUAUCGCUUAACGAUAGAACUGCCAUUGAAACUGUUAGUCUUGAGUGAGGUUGCAGUGGCUGGAAUGUGUAGUGUAGCGGUGAAAUGCUUAGAUAUUACGCAGAACACCAAUUGCGAAGGCAGGUCACUAAGCCUCAACUGACGCUGAUGGACGAAAGCGUGGGGAGCGAACAGG
rnacentral:rRNA from 1 species